AGCGGCGGAUGGGUGAGUAACACGUGGGGAACCUGCCCCUAAGUCUGGGAUACCAUUUGGAAACAGGUGCUAAUACCGGAUAAUAAAGCAGAUCGCAUGAUCAGCUUUUGAAAGGCGGCGUAAGCUGUCGCUAAGGGAUGGCCCCGCGGUGCAUUAGCUAGUUGGUAAGGUAACGGCUUACCAAGGCGACGAUGCAUAGCCGAGUUGAGAGACUGAUCGGCCACAUUGGGACUGAGACACGGCCCAAACUCCUACGGGAGGCAGCAGUAGGGAAUCUUCCACAAUGGACGCAAGUCUGAUGGAGCAACGCCGCGUGAGUGAAGAAGGUUUUCGGAUCGUAAAGCUCUGUUGUUGGUGAAGAAGGAUAGAGGUAGUAACUGGCCUUUAUUUGACGGUAACCAACCAGAAAGUCACGGCUAACUACGUGCCAGCAGCCGCGGUGAUACGUAGGUGGCAAGCGUUGUCCGGAUUUAUUGGGCGUAAAGCGAGCGCAGGCGGAAAAAUAAGUCUAAUGUGAAAGCCCUCGGCUUAACCGAGGAACUGCAUCGGAAACUGUUUUUCUUGAGUGCAGAAGAGGAGAGUGGAACUCCAUGUGUAGCGGUGGAAUGCGUAGGUAUAUGGAAGAACACCAGUGGCGAAGGCGGCUCUCUGGUCUGCAACUGACGCUGAGGCUCGAAAGCAUGGGUAGCGAACAGGAUUAGAUACCCUGGUAGUCCAUGCCGUAAACGAUGAGUGCUAAGUGU
rnacentral:rRNA from 1 species